CUUUGCUUAGGGAGUGCCAUCUGGCCAGACUAAGGUCUGUUUUACUUUCCAACUUGUCCGGUGUGUUCCUUCCCAGGUGUUCUUCGCUGCAGUCAGCUCCUUGGAGCGUUUGGUAAGGCCCUUGGUCUUACAACGUGACUUCUGCUCUUCCUCAAAGUCACCGUGACCGUGAAAGGGAAACGUUUUGAGUCAGUUGAGACAGCUGUGACCAUGCAACUAAAGACACUCAGGAAAGAGGACUUGAGACCUGCUUCCGAAAGUGGGAGGUGAUUAGUCCUUCUGCACCACCUCAGCCCACAGCCAAGGCCCGGGCCAGACAGCUGCACAGGGAGCUCACACCACGGCCUCACCAGCAACCAUCACCAACACCUGGAAUACCCAGGCGCUGCUUCAGGUGUCCCCAUGUGGAAGCCUAACUAACUGCCUCAGCAGCGCCCCGGUGCUGGGGACCCUACAAUGCGACAACUGCAGGCAAGAAUCCCUGUGAACGCACCGCGGACGGAGAGGAGCACGGCGGCCUCAGUUACGGAGCAGGGGCUGAGAACACAGGGAGGAGAGACACAGGCUCGGGUGGAAGGCCGGUGACCAUGGCCCAGAAAGCUCCCUGGUGCAGAGGCAGGUGUGCCGAGGAUGUGCGGGCGCGGCCUCCUCUUCCACUGGAGCUCGCCAGGCUGCCAGCCCUGGCCUGAGGCUCUGGCCCCGUGUUGAUGGGGCAGUGUCUGGAGCGGGGCUUCACGUGGGGCUGCCACUCUCCAGGCUCAGUGCUCAGUGGGGGCCACACACAAAGACUGGGGGAGGGCAGGACAGGGUGCUGACAUCCAGGGCUGGGAGGGCUUCACAUGCAGCCCCGGGACCCCAGGGGCACCCUUGCUCAUGCUGCGCUCCUGUGACGAUGAUGAAUCCAUCUUCCGUGCCUCAGUUUCCUCUCCGUGGGAUGGGAAUAUCAGUAAAAGUCUCUCACGGGUGUCUGUGACGACUCCUUGUGCCCUCACUGGGUGCUGUUGGCCGAGACUCUGAGGAGAGACACCCAGAGCCCCUUUCCCGGCUUCCAUGCAAUUCAGCUCAGAGAAACAAACCCGAGAGAAAACAGCUGCGCCAACCACCUGACUGCUAAGAUCCUCCCCUCAGCUUGCCGCCAGGGGCUGACACUUCCCGGGGUGCAGGACCGUGAGGUUUCUGGCCAUAGCCUCACAAUUUACAAUCGGUUUGAUGCAUCCAGGGCACGUGAGGUGUUCUGGGCAGCAGAACUCCGACUUGAAGUUACCGCCAGGCACCCAUUCGUUCGGCCUGGUCAAGUGAGAGUGGAAUGAGGAGCAGAACCAUUCCUGUCACCCGAGGGUUCCUGUUAAGGCAGCCUUCGGGUGAUGCAUUUAAAGUUGAGCCAGGCUUCAGAUCGGCUUGGGCUUUUUUGGUGAGGCGGGGGUGGUUUGAGACAGGGUCUCCCUAUGUAACCCAGGCUGGCCUCAAACUCAUGGCGAUUCUCCUGCCUUAGCCUCCCGGGAACAUUGCUUGGGAGACCCUAACUUCAGUGAUGUUCAUAAACUUCACAGCCUCUAAACUACAACUCCGCAUCUCGGCUAAAUUAAAAUCCUGAAGGAGCAUCCUUUAAGCCUAGUAAGAUUGUCUUGAAAUAGCACACGCCCGCAUUGUGAGUACAGAGCAUCCCUUUCCCCUGAAAAAGAAUCCAAUCCCCAAGUCCUGUUGAUGGACUUGAGAGCAGGAAUUUACCCAACCGCAGUGUUUCAGGGCGCGGCCUUUGGAGGGGACCAACUUCAGGUGAGGAUGUGGGGGACCCCACGAUGGAAUUCUGGAGCUUUGUGAGAAGAGCGAUGGAGGUCAGUGACACGCAUAGACGCACUCACUCUCCAUCCCAGGCCCUGCCUGGGACCUGGCAGCAAGAAAGCCUGGGUCCCAGCAGUGGUGAUGGCGGCUCUGUGCCCUUGGACCUCAAGGACGCUGAGCUAAAGAACCUCUCUUCAUUAGGAAGCUGGCCUGACCCAGGUACUUAGUUACAGUAAUGAAAAUGUGACUAAGAGCAAAAGAACAAAGCCAUGUGAGGCUGAGAAGCCCCCCGGAUGGAUGCGACAGCAGAUGCUGACAAGCAGGCCCUAGCACUCUUUCUCAGUGCUUCUACCCCCUGGGUGCUGUGGUGCAGACCCGUAAUUCCAGCUACCAGGGAGGCUGAGGCAGGAGGAUCACUUGAAACUAAGAGUUCAAAAUCAGCUUGGGGAACUGAGCAAAGACACUACUGCCUGUAAACAGACAAACAAAAAUAAAGCUCCGCUUCAACAUCGAUAAAGAGAGGUGCAAAGUAUAUAGCCUGAUAAUUCCAAAAAAGAAAAAAGAAUUUCACCUCAUAAUUAUCAAAGAAGUUCUCUUUGAAAGAUUUCAAAAGAUUACUUCAACAGUUGUUCUUCCUCCUCCUCCUCCUGUCCCUAGCUGUCCUCCUUUUCCUCCUUCUUCUUCCUUUUCCUCCUCCCUCUUCUUCCUCUUCCUUUUCUGUGCUGGGAUCAAACCAGAAUCCACAGUAUUAGGCAAACAGUCUAUCCCUGAACUACAUUCCCCACCCUAAUUCAAUAAUUUUAAAGCAAUAUCUUCAAUUCUGGUGGUAGUGUCAGGUGGUCAUCCUCAUGAGUGGCAUAUCACGGUGGCGUUUUAGAGUGUAAAGUGACAGUAGGUGUCCCAAGCCAUAAAUGUACUCCAUACUUUUUGGCCCUGUAAUUCAAAUUUCAAUAAUUUAUCCUCAGGAAAUAUUCCAAAAGAGAUGAUAAUUUAGAAGAAGCAUAAUGCUUAUUAUAGCUUUUUAUGCCAGAGGAAAAAGAUAGUCAUUUGUAGCAGGGGUUGGCAAACUGUCCCUCAGCCAGACUGGCCCUCUGAGUGUUGGAACACAGUCUCGCCCUUUCAUUCCAACGUGUAGCUCUGGCUGUGCUCAUAUUGUAAAGGCACAGACCUUGGCUCAUAAAACUGAAAAAUCUUUACUGUUGGCUCAUUCUGUAGUGUUGACUUUUCAAAAUCCUGGAUUAUGAUAUCACUGACCUAUUCAUCAAAGUAUUUACUUUAUAUCCUUCUGUAAAUCGUAGGUCUAAGUGUAGGUGUUUUAUGCUUUUUUACAGUUAUAGAUAAGAGUACUUUUUAAAACUGAUGUUCUCUUGUUAAUGAUGGCUGAUGUAGCAAAAGCUUUGGAUUUCCAAAUAUUUAUGUUGUAACCAACCACACUGAAUUCUCUUAGUCAGUUAACCUUUACUAGAUCUUCUUAAAGCUUUUGAGCAGACAUAGUAUGUGGCAGUGUUAAAAUAAUAUUUUGUGCCCUCGUUUCCA